rnacentral:lncRNA from 1 species
UUCAACAUGUGGGAAGUUGAGUAAUCUCCAAAGUGGCUUUUAGAGAGGAUAUCAGUCGAAGAUCAUGAUCGUGCAUCCAAGAUAACAAUGCUUUUAUAGGUAUCUGGCUCUUUCGUAAUAAGGUGGUCUGGUAGAAUAAAGUACUUAACCCCCAGUUUGCGGUGGAAUGGAGUGUGAAAUAACUUCAGGACUGGAAAACAAUAUUGUCUAAGCUAAGCCAGACUAAUCCAUUUGUUGCUAAUCUGUAAGGUGAUGCUCAAAGGUGGGUUUUGCCAGUGUUUGCAAA